GACACCCUAUCAUACUCUCGGCCAUAGAGUGGAGAGGGGUUUCUGAGUGUGGCAGCCGAUGUUGGGAAUGGAGCUCAGAGGUGACUAGACUGACGUCUCUUUCCCCAGGACACCCCUUCUGGCUCCAGUGAGUAGCCGUCCCAUGUCCCCUCGGAUGAGCUGACCCCUGAGGAAGCCUCAGUCACCAAGAGGACCCACAAAGACCAGGCCUCAGGGCACAGCCCCCACCAGAGCAGAGGGAGACACAGGCCAGUGGGGAACCGUGAAAGGAGCCGGCACUGGGCAGCAAUAUGAGCCCUGAGAGCUCUUUCCUGAUCCUCUUCUACUACGAUCUUCCAUGCUGCUCUUCAGAGGGUUGCCCCAGCCAGACCUCCUACGGAAAGACACGGCAUCACUCACACUUUGACGACUUUGGCCUCUGCCCAGGGAGGAGCAGGGAGUCUCCAGGCUAUGGGCACAUCCACCACCUUGAGGACAAGGCGAUUAUUAGCAAGCCCUUCCCAUACCACAGCUGCCUUUUAGCUACCUCAAAACAUUAUCACCAGAGGAAAUCCUUAAGCAGGAGAAUGUUACAGUAAGUUAGAUAACUGUGUGGGGGAAGAAGAGGUUUUCAUGUAAGGGUGGUACAGAAAUAAAAGAAAGUCUACAAUCACCUCAAAAAAACUGAAUGAAAAAAUAUCACGUGUGUGUUUUGCAAGAAUGGAUGUGCACAUGCGUCUGGGUGUGCUUGCCUGUGUGUGCAUAUGUAGAGGCCA